rnacentral:rRNA from 1 species
AGGGCGCACGGUGGAUGCCUUGACACUAGGAGUCGAUGAAGGACGGGACUAACGCCGAUAUGCUUCGGGGAGCUGUAAGUAAGCUUUGAUCCGAAGAUUUCCGAAUGGGGAAACCCACCAUACGUAAUGGUAUGGUAUCCUUAUCUGAAUACAUAGGGUAAGGAAGACAGACCCAGGGAACUGAAACAUCUAAGUACCUGGAGGAAGAGAAAGCAAAUGCGAUUUCCUGAGUAGCGGCGAGCGAAACGGAACAUAGCCCAAACCAAGAGGCUUGCCUCUUGGGGUUGUAGGACAUUCUAUACGGAGUUACAAAGGAACGAGGUAGACGAAGCGACCUGGAAAGGUCCGUCGUAGAGGGUAACAACCCCGUAGUCGAAACUUCGUUCUCUCUUGAAUGUAUCCUGAGUACGGCGGAACACGUGAAAUUCCGUCGGAAUCUGGGAGGACCAUCUCCCAAGGCUAAAUACUCCCUAGUGAUCGAUAGUGAACCAGUACCGUGAGGGAAAGGUGAAAAGCACCCCGGAAGGGGAGUGAAAGAGAUCCUGAAACCGUGUGCCUACAAAUAGUCAGAGCCCGUUAACGGGUGAUGGCGUGCCUUUUGUAGAAUGAACCGGCGAGUUACGAUCCCGUGCGAGGUUAAGCUGAAGAGGCGGAGCCGCAGCGAAAGCGAGUCUGAAUAGGGCGUUUAGUACGUGGUCGUAGACCCGAAACCAGGUGAUCUACCCAUGUCCAGGGUGAAGUUCAGGUAACACUGAAUGGAGGCCCGAACCCACGCACGUUGAAAAGUGCGGGGAUGAGGUGUGGGUAGCGGAGAAAUUCCAAUCGAACCUGGAGAUAGCUGGUUCUCCCCGAAAUAGCUUUAGGGCUAGCCUUAAGUGUAAGAGUCUUGGAGGUAGAGCACUGAUUGGACUAGGGGUCCUCAUCGGAUUACCGAAUUCAGUCAAACUCCGAAUGCCAAUGACUUAUCCUUAGGAGUCAGACUGCGAGUGAUAAGAUCCGUAGUCAAAAGGGAAACAGCCCAGACCGCCAGCUAAGGUCCCAAAGUGUGUAUUAAGUGGAAAAGGAUGUGGAGUUGCUUAGACAACUAGGAUGUUGGCUUAGAAGCAGCCACCAUUUAAAGAGUGCGUAAUAGCUCACUAGUCGAGUGACUCUGCGCCGAAAAUGUACCGGGGCUAAAUACACCACCGAAGCUGCGGAUUGAUACCAAUGGUAUCAGUGGUAGGGGAGCGUUCUAAGGACAGUGAAGUCAGACCGGAAGGACUGGUGGAGUGCUUAGAAGUGAGAAUGCCGGUAUGAGUAGCGAAAGACGGGUGAGAAUCCCGUCCACCGAAUGCCUAAGGUUUCCUGAGGAAGGCUCGUCCGCUCAGGGUUAGUCAGGACCUAAGCCGAGGCCGACAGGCGUAGGCGAUGGACAACAGGUUGAUAUUCCUGUACCACCUCUUUAUCGUUUGAGCAAUGGAGGGACGCAGAAGGAUAGAAGAAGCGUGCGAUUGGUUGUGCACGUCCAAGCAGUUAGGCUGAUAAGUAGGCAAAUCCGCUUAUCGUGAAGGCUGAGCUGUGAUGGGGAAGCUCCUUAUGGAGCGAAGUCUUUGAUUCCCCGCUGCCAAGAAAAGCUUCUAGCGAGAUAAAAGGUGCCUGUACCGCAAACCGACACAGGUAGGCGAGGAGAGAAUCCUAAGGUGUGCGAGAGAACUCUGGUUAAGGAACUCGGCAAAAUGACCCCGUAACUUCGGGAGAAGGGGUGCUUUCUUAACGGAAAGCCGCAGUGAAUAGGCCCAAGCGACUGUUUAGCAAAAACACAGCUCUCUGCGAAGCCGUAAGGCGAAGUAUAGGGGGUGACACCUGCCCGGUGCUGGAAGGUUAAGGAGAGGGGUUAGCGUAAGCGAAGCUCUGAACUGAAGCCCCAGUAAACGGCGGCCGUAACUAUAACGGUCCUAAGGUAGCGAAAUUCCUUGUCGGGUAAGUUCCGACCCGCACGAAAGGUGUAACGAUUUGGGCACUGUCUCAACCAGAGACUCGGUGAAAUUAUAGUACCUGUGAAGAUGCAGGUUACCCGCGACAGGACGGAAAGACCCCGUGGAGCUUUACUGUAGCCUGAUAUUGAAUUUUGGUACAGUUUGUACAGGAUAGGCGGGAGCCUUUGAAACCGGAGCGCUAGCUUCGGUGGAGGCGCUGGUGGGAUACCGCCCUGACUGUAUUGAAAUUCUAACCUACGGGUCUUAUCGACCCGGGAGACAGUGUCAGGUGGGCAGUUUGACUGGGGCGGUCGCCUCCUAAAGUGUAACGGAGGCGCCCAAAGGUUCCCUCAGAAUGGUUGGAAAUCAUUCGUAGAGUGCAAAGGCAUAAGGGAGCUUGACUGCGAGACCUACAAGUCGAGCAGGGACGAAAGUCGGGCUUAGUGAUCCGGUGGUUCCGCAUGGAAGGGCCAUCGCUCAACGGAUAAAAGCUACCCCGGGGAUAACAGGCUUAUCUCCCCCAAGAGUCCACAUCGACGGGGAGGUUUGGCACCUCGAUGUCGGCUCAUCGCAUCCUGGGGCUGUAGUCGGUCCCAAGGGUUGGGCUGUUCGCCCAUUAAAGCGGUACGCGAGCUGGGUUCAGAACGUCGUGAGACAGUUCGGUCCCUAUCCGUCGUGGGCGUAGGAAAUUUGAGAGGAGCUGUCCUUAGUACGAGAGGACCGGGAUGGACGCACCGCUGGUGUACCAGUUGUUCUGCCAAGGGCAUAGCUGGGUAGCUAUGUGCGGAAGGGAUAAGUGCUGAAAGCAUCUAAGCAUGAAGCCCCCCUCAAGAUGAGAUUUCCCAUAGCGUAAGCUAGUAAGAUCCCUGAAAGAUGAUCAGGUUGAUAGGUUCGAGGUGGAAGCAUGGUGACAUGUGGAGCUGACGAAUACUAAUAGAUCGAGGACUUAACC